UUCGGGAGGCAACUCCUGAGUGAUACAGCGAAAGCGUUAAGUAUUCCACCUGGGGAGUACGCCGGCAACGGUGAAACUCAAAGGAAUUGACGGGGGCCCGCACAAGCGGAGGAACAUGUGGUUUAAUUCGAUGAUACGCGAGGAACCUUACCCGGGCUCAAACGUUGGGGGAAUACUCCUGAAAGGGAGCAGUCAGCAAUGGUCGCCAACGAGGUGCUGCAUGGUUGUCGUCAGCUCGUGCCGUGAGGUGUCGGCUUAAGUGCCAUAACGAGCGCAACCCCUGCGUCCAGUUACCAUCAAGUCAUGUUGGGGACUCUGGACGGACUGCCGGCGCAAGCCGUGAGGAAGGCGGGGAUGACGUCAAAUCAGCACGGCCCUUACGUCCGGGGCGACACACGUGUUACAAUGGCGUGGAACAGCGGGAAGCCACCUGGCGACAGGGAGCGGACCCCUAAAACACGUCUCAGUUCGGAUUGGAGUCUGCAACUCGACUCCAUGAAGCUGGAUUCGCUAGUAAUCGCGCAUCAGCCAUGGCGCGGUGAAUACGUUCCCGGGCCUUGUACACACCGCCCGUCAAGCCAUGGGAGCCGGGAGUGCCUGAAGUACGUAACCGGAAGGAGCGUCCAAGGGUAACACUGGUGACUGGGGCUAAGUCGUAACAAGGUAAC
rnacentral:rRNA from 1 species